rnacentral:lncRNA from 1 species
UGGGGUCUCUUUAUAUAAGAUACGGACUUGAACAUUGCAUUAUAUGGGGGCACCCAUCAGAUAUUUCCAACCGUGACCUCCAAAACCAAUUGUUAAACUUUUCUAAAAUUGCUCCAUUUGUAAUCUAUUAAUGUAUGUAUGGACCUUCUAUUUCGAAUAUUUUGUAAAAAUAUUUUUGAUGUUUCUCUAUCGUAAAUACGGACUUUGUCAUAACCUUAUAUUGGGCGUACCUAUUUUAUAUCCACAACUUCCUUCAGACACUUGUCAUAACUUAAUGAAUCUUUUUUUUUUCAGAUUCCUUAUCAUUUAAUUCAAUUGUGUACCUCUUAUUUUGGUUUUUCGAAAAAUCAUCAGUUUUUUAUUUCCAUGAUAUGGACUUUUCCAUUACCUUAUUGGGUGGUACCCGCUUACUAUACGCAACUUUCAAAAACUUACCAUAUACUAGUAUUAAUAAAACUUUCUCAUAUUCGUUAUUAAAUGAUGCCCCUGUGCACCUAUAAUUUAGUUUUUCUGGUGGUUUAUUUUUUUUCCAAAACAUGGACUAUAGAAGUGGCGGGGUAUAAUUUCGUUAAUUCUUUCCUCAAUACCUAAAGUUUUUUAACAAAGCUUUCUCUAUCUAUUUUUUGUCAUUUUAAAAGAGACAGGCUUGAUGUAUGUAAUCACCAAUUGAUCAACGGUAGACGGUGUAAAUAGUCUUUAAAAAUGUAAUAGUUAAACAGAUAACUGCAACGACACACUAAUACAGUCCACAAGCGAAUCAUGUAUUGCUUUUUAGGCAUUUGAUUUUAAGUAAGACUGACGGAACAAAAAUUAAUUUGCCGUCUACAAAAAUCAUCAGAAAUAUAUUUGUAUUGUCUGAUGAAAGAAAUUACACGUUAUAGUUCCAUGGACACAAUCAUAAUAUCACAUAGACACGUAUAUACCUUCAAAUUGCCGUUGUUUUUCAGUCAAGGUCGUUAAAAACUUCCAUUUGUUGUUGUUUUUUUCUUCAAAAUCACGACUGGUCAUACAGACAAAAAAUCUGAAAUCGCUACUAGAAUACAGUCAGUUUUAGACUGAUCGUACAGUAAUUUAUUUUGGGUUCCUCAAGGAAAGCAUAUUUUUUUAUUUGAAAUACGAACAUUCUACUUAAAUACGGUAGGAAUAUUGAAACAGUAUAUAUUUUACUGUAAACUGAUGCAAAUAUUCGCAAUAAAAGAUUAUCUGCUUUGUACUACGAGAGCAAAAUUGUCAAUCGAUUUCACUUUUUUCUAUGAAGUUGGUGUGAUGCACGCGAAUAUUUUAUAUUCUACUGCAUGUUUUUGUUACAGUUACUCAUAUUUAUGAUGUUAUACAUACAUUUAAGAUGUGCAAAGCACUUUAUAGAUAUAGGAGUAAACAAAUGAUGAGAAAAAGCACCAAAACAAAACCGUUCUGUUAGCCAGUUUGAAAUCCUCGCUUCGAAAAUCGCGACUUCCGGAUAG